UACAGAGGUCUCAAGCGUUGUUCGGAUUCAUUGGGCGUAAAGGGUGCGUAGGCGGCGCGGUAAGUCGGGUGUGAAAUCUCGGAGCUUAACUCCGAAACUGCAUUCGAUACUGCCGUGCUUGAGGACUGGAGAGGAGACUGGAAUUUACGGUGUAGCGGUGAAAUGCGUAGAUAUCGUAAGGAAGACCAGUGGCGAAGGCGGGUCUUUGGACAGUUCCUGACGCUGAGGCACGAAGGCCAGGGGAGCAAACGGG
rnacentral:rRNA from 1 species